AUUCUAGCAUAAGAGAUUCUAGUCUGAUUAGUAGUACAUUCAUCAGCAUAUAUUGGUUUCCCAAUAACACUAGCUAUCCUACUCAAGGACUUGCUACCCCAACAAGACAUUGGUAAGUCAGGGAAUUUUAUCCAUAAAGGAAUCUCAGUAGGAAAAGCUGCUUUCAAAUCAAAAUCUGCAGACCAUUGUUUCAAAAUCAUUGGUC
rnacentral:lncRNA from 1 species